UGGUGGAGUGAUUUGUCUGGUUAAUUCCGUUAACGAACGAGACUCUAGCCUGCUAAAUAGACGGGCGAUCCCUUUGUGAGUCGACCCGAUUGCUUCUUAGAGGGACAAGUGGCGUUCCCAGCCACGCGAAAUUGAGCAAUAACA
rnacentral:rRNA from 1 species